rnacentral:lncRNA from 9 species
GUCCUCUUAUCUAGUUGAUUUAUCAACCCCACUUUCCAUUUUAUGUCUGACCUCAGAAUGUCAUACAAACAUAAUGAAAGUGAAAACUGAGGACCCCUGCAGAUGCAGUUCAAAGUCUAAAUUCACGACAGUGAGGACAUCGAGAACAAAAGAGCUCGUGCUGUAUGCUCUCCAGGGAUCAAGGUGGCAACAGGCUGUCCCUGCAGCCAGGCCCUCAUAUUUGAAGGAGGAAGCUGUCAUACAAUGAUUCCUGCUCUGCUGUAGAGAAAAUCCAAUCAGGGCAUUACCUGAUUGGGAACAUUGAUUUUUGCCCUAAUAGGUAUGGAUUAUCUGCCAGGCCCUGGCCUCCUUCUAGGUAUACUGCAGAGAGAAACCAGCAGAUAUUUUUCUCACACCAAGCUGGUAAGUUCAUCUAUUUUACCUUACAUAGUGACCAGGGCAGCUUCUGAUUAAUGCCGUUCAGCCAAUUUGGGAAUGUGGUUGCAGGAGGGGAGGGGGAGCCGUGACAGUGCUUCACAAAUAAUUCUGACUGAGAUAGCAGGAAAGGGGUGCUUUAGAGAAAAGUAGGAACAGAUAAAUUGUCGGUAGAAGUGGAUAUUUCAAAGGGCUAGUACAACAGGCAGACCUCCCUCCUUCCGCCUUGAGAUAGUUCAGUGGUUUGCCUUCAAGAUAAUUUUAUCUUAGGCUUCUUGGACCUCCAUCAGUAAGAAGGGAUGAUUUUACAAGGAGAACUGGUCCUGCCAGCUUUGAGUGGUUUCAGGGUAAUUUUAGGCAACAAGGAACACAUUCCACAAUGCCGCGUGGGAGGGAGGGUGCCUGACUGUGAGUCACAAGACUCAGGUCUGGUGGCGCCUCCACUGACAACAAUUAUAUAGUCACGAUCCGGGUCAAUUUCUCCAUCUUCAACGUGGAAUUCCUUCAACUGCCAUGUCCAAAGGAAGGACUCUUAUAAGAGAGUUCAAAUCAUUUAUAUUCUUUGGAAGAGAAACAGAGACCAUUAAGAAACGCCUUCAUAAGCUGACUGACGCCGUAGACACGAGCAAAAGAUCACAGAGAAGCAUCUUCGCAAGUGCCCCGCACGCCCUCGUCGUCCGCGUCCGUAGGGGAGGAAGAACAGGCGGUGAAAGAGGGCCUCCUCAGGCUAGUGGCCAUGGGCUUGGAGGCUGCGGAGGGCUGCGUCCACUGGGGACAUGGAAAAGGCUCCACGGACGCAGGGUGAAGAAGCGAGCCCCCGAGAAGGCAGGCGAGAGGAGCCGGGCUGCACCCGGCUCCGCUGGUGCGGCUCAGUGACGCCGCCCUCGGCAACUGCGCCAGCAACCUACCUUCAUUUAACUUUUAAUGUGUCUGUAUUUCAUGUACUCAACUAGAUUGUAAUUUAUUUCAAAGCAUGGCUCGUUUAUUACAUUUCCUCAAUCUGUCUCCAUCAUUCAUGUAUUUAAAACAUGUUUAUGGCUAUAGACUAUAUACCAAACACAAUGUUAGAUACUGGAGAAAAAUAUGUAUGAAAUAUUCCAGGCCACAAAAGGAUUUAUCAUCUAAUGGAAGAGUCAAAAAUAAAAAUAAAUAGGUAUACCAAUGUGAUGAGUGCAUGUGUGUGAGACAAAAAGAGAGAUGUGUGCACUGUACCUUGGGCAAACGAGGAAGAAUGGCCUUAAGAGAUUAAAAAUUUUCCCAGAGACACUACCUGGGUUUAUUCUUAAAGGAGGAAUAAUAGUUAAGAGGGUGGACAGGUGUUCUCUUUGUGGCUCAGUAGGUUUAGAACCCAACAUAGUGUCUGUGAGAAUGUGGGUUUGAUCCCUGGCCUUGCUCAAUGAGUUAAGGUCCCGCAUUGCCACAACCUGUGGCAUAGGUCGCAAAUUUGGUUCAGAUCUGGCAUUGCUAUGGCUAUGGUGUAGGCCAACUGCUGAGGUUUUGAUUUGACCCCAAGCUUGGGAACUUCCAUGGCCACAGGUUCAGCCAUUUAAAAAAAAAAAAAAAAAAGGAAGGGCAUUCCAAAGCAAAGAGGAAUAGUUAAGAAAAAAAUAUAGUUUAUCUGUAGGACACAAGUAAUGAGGUGUGGGUAAACUUGGGAAGUAACAGGAAUUUGGAAAGACAAGACUCACCAAAGGCUUUAAAAAUCAAGCUAAGGGUUUGACUAAAUCCUGGGACGCUGGGAGGAUAUGGGGAUAUUUUUAAAAAUAACAUUUUGUUUAAAUCACACAUACACAAAGGUACACAAGGCAUGCAUCCACAGUUCAAUGAAUUUUCACAAAGCAAAUAUACCUGUGUAGCCUAGAUUUAGAAGGAAAACACUACCAGAAACAAUGGAAAGAUCUGAAGCAAUGUAAAUACAUUAUCAGACUUGCACAUUGAAAGAUCUUUCUGGUACAUUGAAUGAAGAAAUUGUU